rnacentral:rRNA from 1 species
GGCGCACGGGUGCGGAACACGUGUGCAACCUGCCUUUAUCUGGGGGAUAGCCUUUCGAAAGGAAGAUUAAUACCCCAUAAUAUAUUGAGUGGCAUCACUUGAUAUUGAAAACUCCGGUGGAUAGAGAUGGGCACGCGCAAGAUUAGAUAGUUGGUGAGGUAACGGCUCACCAAGUCAAUGAUCUUUAGGGGGCCUGAGAGGGUGAUCCCCCACACUGGUACUGAGACACGGACCAGACUCCUACGGGAGGCAGCAGUGAGGAAUAUUGGACAAUGGGUGAGAGCCUGAUCCAGCCAUCCCGCGUGAAGGACGACUGCCCUAUGGGUUGUAAACUUCUUUUAUACUGGGAUAAACCUACCCUUCGUGAGGGUAGCUGAAGGUACAGUAUGAAUAAGCACCGGCUAACUCCGUGCCAGCAGCCGCGGUAAUACGGAGGGUGCAAGCGUUAUCCGGAUUUAUUGGGUUUAAAGGGUCCGUAGGCGGACUCGUAAGUCAGUGGUGAAAUCUCAUAGCUUAACUAUGAAACUGCCAUUGAUACUGCGGGUCUUGAGUAAAGUAGAAGUGGCUGGAAUAAGUAGUGUAGCGGUGAAAUGCAUAGAUAUUACUUAGAACACCAAUUGCGAAGGCAGGUCACUAUGUUUUAACUGACGCUGAUGGACGAAAGCGUGGGGAGCGAACAGGAUUAGAUACCCUGGUAGUCCACGCCGUAAACGAUGCUAACUCGUUUUUGGGUUUUCGGAUUCAGAGACUAAGCGAAAGUGAUAAGUUAGCCACCUGGGGAGUACGUUCGCAAGAAUGAAACUCAAAGGAAUUGACGGGGGCCCGCACAAGCGGUGGAUUAUGUGGUUUAAUUCGAUGAUACGCGAGGAACCUUACCAAGGCUUAAAUGGGAAUUGACAGGUUUAGAAAUAGAUCCUUCUUCGGACAAUUUUCAAGGUGCUGCAUGGUUGUCGUCAGCUCGUGCCGUGAGGUGUUAGGUUAAGUCCUGCAACGAGCGCAACCCCUGUCACUAGUUGCCAUCAUUCAGUUGGGGACUCUAGUGAGACUGCCUACGCAAGUAGAGAGGAAGGUGGGGAUGACGUCAAAUCAUCACGGCCCUUACGCCUUGGGCCACACACGUAAUACAAUGGCCGGUACAGAGGGCAGCUACUAUGCGAAUAGAUGCGAAUCUCGAAAGCCGGUCUCAGUUCGGAUUGGAGUCUGCA